rnacentral:lncRNA from 1 species
CGUCACCAUGGAGACGGCCGCGGCCCCAGGCCCGGGCUGGGCAGCUGAAGGGGAGCGGCGACGAAGACGCUGCUCGCGGCGAGACCGUGAUCGGGAGCAGCGGCGCCGCCGAGGUCCAGGCGGUGACGCGCCCCGGGCCUUGUUGGCUGCCCCGCGAGGCUCUUCAUCCUCGUCGUCACCGCCGCCGCCCGCCCGUCCCUGGUCCUCAGCUUCAUCUGGAGAGCGGCCUGGGGGCCUAAGACGGCGGCGGCCCCGACCCAGGCCUCGACCCCCGAGACCGCGAGCUCGGAAGCGGCCUGCCGGUUCGGGCAGCCGCGGAGAGGAAGAGGAGGAGGAGGAAGAGGGGGGCGCAGACGACGGAGAAGCCGAGGAGGAGCCUGAAGAGGAGGAAGAGGAGGAAG